rnacentral:lncRNA from 1 species
AUUGUGCAGGUUAGUUACAUAUGUAUACAUGUGCCACGCUGGUGCGCUGCACCCACUAACUCGCAUCUAGCAUUAGGUAUAUCUCCCAACGCUAUCCCUCCCCCCUCCCCCCACCCCACAACAGUCCCCAGAGUGUGAUAUUCCCCUUCCUGUGUCCAUGUGAUCUCGUUGUUCAGUUCCCACCUAUGAGUGAGAAUAUGCGGUGUUUGGCUUGGAUGAAAUUGGAAAUCAUCAUUCUCAGUAAACUAUCGCAAGAGCAAGACACUUUUUGCAAUAUCUUCCUUCCAAUCUCCCUCAACCCAAUGAACAUGUACAGAGAGGACGCUGUUCACAGAGGUGGUUCAACAAUGCCAGUUCCAAAAAGUAUUUCUCAUUACUUUUAAAAGAUAUUUACAGAAAGUGUUAUUCUACUACUUCUAUUUUUAAAUACACCAAGCACUUCCAAAUAUCUAGAAAGAUUAAAUAUUUCAUAUAACUUGUCCACCAUGUACAUGGCACUGUUAAAUAAAAUUGCACACACAUAACAACAGUUAUAAUCUGAGGUAUCUUCUAAACAUGACCAUUUUGGCCUUGAAGUAGUCCUUCCUUUCUUCUCUCUGCCUUUAUUUCAGUAGACAAGUAUAGGCAUGUGUCAUACUUUAGAAAUGGUUGAACAAAUUUAGAUCCAAAAGUUAUUUACAGAAGACAAGGUUUCCUAUGAAUUUCAACACAAAGCUUACAAAAAGUGCUAAUUUUACUAAGUACUUUGUCAUACACUGCCAGCCUCUUUAACAUCUAGAGACUAGAUGUUGCAAAAUUAGGACUCAUUUGUUCAUUAUAUGCGCUAUAUACAGAGCAAAACACAAUGCACAAAACAUACAGAAAAAUGGUGCCUGAAAAUGUGCAAGUAUGAGCACACUAGCAUGUUACCUUUUGCAGUUUCAUCCGUCCCAGCUCCUCUAAACUACUGAGCAAGUAUAGACAGUACUAUACCACUCACAAAGAUGGCUUAAUAAUUCAAUUUCCAAAACACAGUAUUUCCUAUGAAUUUCAGCAAAAAGACAUUUACAAAGUGAAAUUUUGCUACCUCUACAUUUAACAUACAUCAGGCCCUUCUAAACAUCUAAAUAGACUAGCGGUUUCAGGUAAGAAGUUAAUCUGUCCACUAUGUACACUGCAGCCUUGAAUAAACUGCAUACAUGUAACAAUAGUUAUAAUUUGAAGGAGUCUUCCAAAUGUGAACAUUCUGGCCUAAAAAUCUUUCCAUCUCCAUCAACCCAGUGGGCAAGAAUGCUCAAGUUUUCAGAAGACAAUCUUCCCUAGGAAUUUAAAAACAAAAUGUACAAAAAUAUUAGUUUACUAACUCUACUUUUGUAAUUCACUGGCAACCUCCAUAACAUCUAGAAAGACUAGAUGUAAAUUAGGACUUGUUUUCCUCUAUAUACACUUUAUACAUAGAUAAGUAAAAGAAAAUGCACAAACAUAAGAUAUAAUGGUUAAUCUUGCCUCACUGUAAGCACACUGGUGGCACAGAGCUCUCUGCACAGCCUCCUCCUCCUCCUCUCCUGAACUGGCGCAUAAUACAAUGCAUAUUACUCAACUUGUGGUUUGGCCAUUCCCCCUAAAACAAUGUUUCAUUCGAAUUUUAACAAAAAGAUACUUACAAAAUGUGUUAUUUUACUACUUCUAGUUUAAACAUAUAUCAGGCACCUCAGAACAUCUAGAAACACUAGACAUUUCAAAAAAGUGUAGCAUUGUCAAUGAUCUAUACAGUAGUAGGGAAUAAAAUGCACACAAAACAAUGGAAAGAAUAUGAGAAUGUCUUCUGAAUAUGACUAGUCUGGCACAGAACCUUCUUCUUUUCCUUCUCAGGUCUUCUUCUUCAUGCCCUCUAACCCACUGAACAAAUGUGGUUGUGUCUGUCGUUCCUGGUAUGGCUUCCAGAAGUGGUCCAACAAUUCCAUUGCGAAAAGCCAUUUCCAGAAGACAUCUAUUUUCUAUCAUUUCUUUUUGAACAAAUGAGAAUUUAUAAGAUGUGUGAUUUUCUAACUUUAUCAUACAUCACAACCUCUUUCCAUCUAGAAGGGCUAAAUGUGGCAAAUGUUUUCUAUUUAAAAGUUGGGGCGGGGGCAGUUGAGAGCCGCUUUCUCACUUUACACACGCAGGGCCUUCUAUAAACGGUGGUAAUUAAAUCUUCCCAAAGGGUAGUGGGCAUCUCCAAUACGCCAAAUGUGGCCUGUUCCACCACUUCUCUCUUCCCACAUCCAGGUCUGGUAGAGAAGGAAGACCAGUGGCCAGGUGGCCGCUAUCCGUCGUUGUCUGGGACACUGCUCACCUUCCGGCCGUUGUUAAUGCCGUUGUUCCUGUCGUCAGGACUAGUGAAAAGAAACAGAGAUCGUUGGAGAAAUGUCUGAUUAUAAGAUAUUUCUAAGCCUGGUGAAGAAAUAUAUAAGAGAAGCCUGGAGAAGAACCAGUAAUACCAGAAAUCAGGGAGGGGCCCUGAAGAGAAAAGGAUAACAAAAGGAUGAAGACCUGUCCAAGGGACCCAGCAGCUAACUUGAAAGAGCUCUCAAUGGGUAAAGCUGGAGCAAUUUCAACAACAAAAUAAAUAACAUAUCACUGGAUUAUAACCUGAAGUAUAAAACGUAUGAGUCCAUACUCUUAUAAAUAAAUGAUUGAAUAAAUACAUAAAUGAGAAGAAGGGAGAAAUCUUCCUUACUAGUCUAUUAAUAGUCCCCACUUUCAGAUGUGGAGCUCAUGAUCUCCUUUGUUAAGUGUA